rnacentral:rRNA from 1 species
CGUGUAGGCGGUGGGACAAGUCCCCCGUGAAAGACUUCGGCUCAACCGGGGGAGGUCGGGGGAUACUGUUCGACUAGAGGAUGUCAGAGGGACACGGAAUUCCGGGUGUAGUGGUGAAAUGCGUAGAGAUCCGGAGGAACACCAGUGGCGCAGGCGGUGUCCUGGGGCGUACCUGACGCUGAGACGCGAAAGCAUGGGGAGCGAACGGGAUUAGAAACCCCGGUAGUCCAUGCCGUAAACGAUGCCGACUAGGGGUUCGGCGCAAGCUGGGUCCCGCAGCUAACGCGAUAAGUCGGCCGCCUGGGGAGUACGGUCGCAAGGCUAAA